rnacentral:rRNA from 1 species
GACGGAGGAUGCAAGUGUUAUCCGGAAUCACUGGGCGUAAAGCGUCUGUAGGUGGUCAAAUAAGUCAACUGUUAAAUCUUGAGGCUCAACCUCAAAAUCGCAGUCGAAACUAUUCGACUAGAGUAUAGUAGGGGUAAAGGGAAUUUCCAGUGGAGCGGUGAAAUGCGUAGAGAUGUGGAGGAAUACCGAUGGCGAAGGCAGCCCCCUGGGUCAAAACUGACGCUCAUGCACGAAAGCGUGGGGAGCAAACAGG